AUCUGAUGCUGGGGGCAUCUGGUGCAUAAUUUGUUGAACCGCUCCCAGUACGCAUAUAAGGUCUCUCUUGGUUGUUGCUUGAUGCCACAUAUCUCUUUUCUCAAACU